AAACUCUCAAAGAAAGUUUACAAGCCUUCCCCAACCUUGGCAAAUCCGCGUCUGUAACAUAAACUGAAGAGAUGAAAAUUAUGAUUGAUCAACUGUAACAAAGUUAAAGAAGCUGAAGAAGAACUAUCGAAGUAAGCGCGAAACUAUUAAGGGGUUCUAUGGAGGAAAGAGAUAAUACCCCAUUGUUGGAUAUUAAUGUCAGUUUAGAUGAGACAAUGCUUGAUAUUGGUUUAGACUGUGUACCUCAUUGUGAUACUGAAAAAAUUGAUGAAUAUAUAUUGGAUGGAAAUGGAGAUUUGGUGGAGACAUCAAAUGAUAUGACAACUGAUUAUAUCCCAAAAGUAGGGAUGGUUUUUGAGUCGCAGGACGAAUUGUACCAUUUCUACAAUUAUUAUGCUAGAAUAACGGGAUUUAGCAUCCGUAGGGGCCAUUCUAAACGGUCAAGUGAUGGUGAAAUUAGAAAAAGAGUAAUUCAUUAUUCAAAAGAAGGCUUCGAACAGAGACAUACAAGAGGUACACCACAAAAAGAACGUUCGGUGUUGCUGACGGGAUGUUUGGCUCUUAUACAUGUCAUUGCAAAAGGUGGUGUGCUUGUUGUAACAAAAUUUGUUGAAGAGCACAACCAUGAACUAGUGCUUGCAGAAGAAGCACAUCUGUUAAGGUCUUAAAAAAAGAUAUUACCUCAGCAAGCUCGGCAUAUAGAAUCACUUCAUUCCCGAGGUUGUGGGCCAAGUAAAGCAUUUGCAAUUUUAAGCAAGGAACAUGAUGGUCCACAGAAUCUGAAUUUUACAUUAACAGAUUGUAAAAAAUAUUUCCAGAAAAGGCGUCGAGAGAUAUACAAAGAAGGUGUGAAUUCGGGAUGGCCUUACUUGUCGAUGAAUCUGCUGAAUCAUUUGUGUGGGCUUUUCAAUCAUUUUUAAGUGCAAUGUCGGGAAAGCAUCCAAAGACCAUAUUUACCGACCAGGCACAAGCGAUUGGCAAUGCUGUAAAAGAGGUAAUGCCAGACACACACCAUCGUUUAUGCUUAUGGCAUAUUUUUCAGAAUGCGGCAAAGCAUCUGCCUCAUGUUUAUGCAGCCAAUGAAGACUUUACAAAGGAUUUCGCUGAGUGUCUUUAUAGUGCUGAAACUGAAGAAGAAUUUGAAUCCAUGUGGACAUCGGUGCUCACAAAAUAUUCUCUUACUGAUAAUGAUUGGUUGAUAAAACUGUAUGCCUUACGAGAAAAAUGGGCUCCUGUGUACGGAAGAGAACAUUUUUGCGCUGGCAUGACAACAACUCAAAAGGAGUGAAAGUUUGAACAGUUUUGUCAAGGGUUAUGUAAAUCGCACCCUAUGCAUUAAUGAUUUUAUAUUGCAAUAUAAGAAAGCGGUGAUGGACUGGAGGGAGAAAGAGUUACAAGCUGAUUACCAAAGUAAGCAUUCUAAACCUGUAUAUAUUUCUCUCUUGCGUUUUGAAAGAGAGGCAGCGAAGAUGUAUAUUCGGAAGGUUUUCAGUAUAUUUCAAAAACAGAUUCGGACUCUUUGAAUUUAAAUCUCAGAUUCAGACCCGAUUUCUUCCCAUCAACUACUGGCUUACCACCGCAAGUCUUUCAGGAUGCAACCGAUAAUUGAUUUCUACUUAAUGCCCGGACGUGUCAAGAAGAGAUGAGGGGCCGCAUACUCUCACUAUGCGGCCCAUCCACAUUGUAGCGGGGGCGCACUUCUGGAGAGGAAGUUCUUUUGGAUAAUGCUCAAACAGAUUCCGUAGAAAGUUGUCACUGGAGCUAAUCUUUUCCAUGUGGUUUGUUAUAAGUUAAUUACUUGUAGAAUAAUAUAUUGCGUUACCCUUUCACAGAAAAAUAAAUAUUAGAGCACUGUGUGACAUGAAAUUACACUUAGUUUUUGUUUUUUUUGUCACUAGGGACAGGCAAAUCAGAUUUUUAUAGAUUUUCGUGGAUUUCUUUUUUGAGCGACUCCGAAUAGAUUUCCAGUCAU